GCAACUGCACACAUGCUGAAGAGAGGUUGGCUGAGGCUGAGUAAAAUUUCAUGGUAAGCCAAUCAGAGGUAGACUUGGGCGGGUGUUCGAAAGCACGCAUAG